rnacentral:rRNA from 1 species
UACGGGGGGGGCAAGCGUUGUUCGGAAUUACUGGGCGUAAAGGGCUCGUAGGCGGCCAACUAAGUCAGACGUGAAAUCCCUCGGCUUAACCGGGGAACUGCGUCUGAUACUGGAUGGCUUGAAUCCGGGAGAGGGAUGCGGAAUUCCAGGUGUAGCGGUGAAAUGCGUAGAUAUUGGGAAGAACACCCGUGGCGAAGGCGGCUCUCUGGGACGGUACUGACGCUGAGACGCGAAAGCGUGGGGAGCGAACAGG